GAUUGGUCCUGCUUCAGUCACAUGCUUGCAUCUUAGUCCAAUCACUGUGGCCUGGAGGAUGGGACACCAUGAUUUGCAAGACUCUGGUCACAUGCCCACACCUGUGGCUUCUGAAGCAGAGCACCAGCAGUGACAGUCCCACCAGAACCGCAUGGAAUAGAAAACUGUGCAUUUCCCUAAGGAAAGGGAAUGCCAGAGAAGGGCAGAAGGGAAAUCAGGAAGACAAAACGUGUCUUCAUGUUGGAGUGGACCUUUCCUCUAUCUGUCAACAGAAUGGAUAAAUUGUGGAAGAGUAAUAUCAGAAUACUACACAUCAGUAAAAAACAACAAACUUCUGCUACAAACAAUCAACAUCGAUGAAUCUUUCAGGCAAAAGGGUUAAUGCCUACAAUAAGUGUUCUUGAAAUACAGUCACGCGUUGCUUAACCAUGGGGAUAUAUUCUGAUAAAUUCAUCAUUAGGCGAUUUCAUCACUGGGCGAACAUCACAGCUCGUACUCACACAAACCUAGAUGUCAUAGCCUACUACACACCUAGGCUAUAUGAUAUAGGCUAUUGCUAGCAACAAACCUGUACAGCAUGUUACUGUCUUGAAUACUUAGGCAGCAGAGCACAAUGUUAUAGAAACAGAUGAUCAGUGGCCCACGGAUUCCAGGUGAGGAUCUGGGACCCAGACAUCCAGAUAUUGAAAACACAGGGAUGGAGUCUGUAUGGAAAAAAUUAAAAUAUAGCAAAAUGUGAAAUACGGAAGAGAAAUCUUUCAAUUUCCCAAUGGAAGUGAGAAAAGAGCAAAGAAAAGUAUUGGUCUUCCAAAACAAAUAGAGGACGGAGCUGCUGCUGUUGCAUGGUGUCUAGAAACUCAGACAACUUCAUCAUUCCAUAUUUGCAUCCAAGAGAGAGAAAGAAAAACUACAAUCAUUUUCCAUUUACCCAUCAACCCAUCAACCUCCAAAUAAAGGCUAUUAAAAAACAAUCAAAGUGUGAAGAGGGCAGAAAAUGUGAUGAAGAGAUUCUUUGGAGAAAGUAGCUGCCACUGUUACCUUGGGAUCUGCCUAUAGUCCUCACAGAGCUUGCCCUUGCAGGAUAGAACAUAGGAGUCUGGGAGUCUGCAAGAAGAGACAGGGUCUCACUAUGUUGCCCCAGUUGGCCUUGAACUGCUGGACUCAAGGGAUCCUCCUGCCUCAGCAUCCUGAGUAGCUGGGUCUACAGGCAUGAACCACCAGGCCCAGAACCCUGUGUGAGUGUUCCUUCUUCCCCUCUCUUCAUGUUCACAGCAUAUCUUAUUAUUGUUAAUAUUGGAAGUCAACACACCAGGGAUCAUCAUCAGACUCAUGUUCUUUAUUGAGAAACAAGCUUUUGAAAGCCAUAUGCGAUCUGUCUGCCCUGAAGUGACUACUUCAUCUCCAACCAGCCCUUGGCUGGCAAAGUCAGGAAGACUCCAGUCUUUCCUGAAGACCAGGGGAGAGUUUAUAACUCUAGCAUCAAAGUCAGCAGCUGUUCAUCUAGAAGACAACUUCCCAAAAGUCAAUGUCUUUGCCUGAAGCUUUUCUUCCCAGAUCUCCUAUGGUGAAACAACCAAAGGGAAGAAGAAUGUGGGCAGCCCUCAGUAAGACAGGAGAUGAGCAUCAACAUUGACCCAUUCUUUCUUCCAGUCCUCGAUGCUUACCUUGUACAUUCUUCUUUGUCUUCCGACUCAGUGCCUUUAGGGUAUGGACGUUGCCUGGUCCCACACAAGCCAAGCAUCAAAUGGAUGGCUCAACAAGGAGGCCAAGACCAGCUAAUGUUUAGUGAGCACCCAAAGGGGCCACACUGGAGAGAACAGCACAGCUCCGUCUGAGAAACAGCUGUUCCUUCCUGCCUGAGAGGCAGAGUGAUAGAAGAUAUCACAGAAUGUUGCUGCUUUGUCUUCCACCCUGAACCCUCCACGACCUCCCUGUAGCUUCCUGAUUUUAAGUAGACAUCAAAUGAUUCUUAAUCCUUUCUGGGUCUUGGAACGAUUUGAAAAUUGUCAACAGUACUGGGAUUCCCAGAAUAAUGCACAUAUGUACAUACUCAGAUAUUCCCCAAGCCCUGGAUAUAAUUUUAAGGGAGUUCACAGACCACACUCCCCCACCCAUCUGUGGACCCAGAUUCUGUGGGUUCGAGAUUCAGAAGCCCUGUUUCUAGGCAGGCCCUCUGUUGCUAACGCCCCUCGAGAACAUCACCCUAGAUGAUUAUCCCUUCUUCCUCCACUCCUUCCCACCUUCUCCAACUGCUGGGUUUCAGCACAAAGAUUGCUUGCCAGUUAAACUGGCACCAUGGACCGCACAGUAGUUGUUUCUUGGGUCUAGAGGAAACAGCCAGAUUCCUUUAAGUAAAUCAUGUCUUAGUUAUUGAUUGUCUCCACUUGAAGUUUUUGACAAUCUCUGAUUAAAUCAUAAACCACUGCAUCCUCCAUCUCCUGCUUCAGUCUCUCAAACCAAAUGUCAGUUUCUUUGUAGCCCUUCAAUUCAAAGUUUGCAAAUUCUGGAUCUAGGCUUCAUUCUUUCACUCAUUUAAGCACUAACAUCUAUUGCAUAACUAUUAAAUGCCAGGCACUGUUCUAGGCAUCAGGGACAUAAUAAUGUACAAAACAGCCUUCAUGUUAAUUUACUUAUUCUCUUCCAAAAUGCUAAUUCUAACCAGUGCUGCUUUAAAAACCAUUAUAAUUAUUACAAUAACUGCCUAAGUUAUAAGCUCUAUUCUAAAUAGUUAAUAUGUAUUAUUAUUUUUCAGAAAACUCUAUGAGGUAGGUAUUAUUAUUAUCAUUCUUAUUUUACAGAAGUGAAAAUCAUAAAGGUUAAGUAAUUUGCCCCAGCUAGAGAGGGACAAAGACAAGAUGUAACAUGAGGCAGUUUGACUAAAUUACUUACUGCUAAAUUCAGCAUCCCUGAUUAUGGUUACAAAGCAAGAUUAGAUUCUUUAGCACUGUUGAAAUGUGAACAGAUGUAUUACAAAAAAAAUUGUCUAGCAAUGUGCAUAUAUUUAAGUAGCCCCGAGGGUUAUCUGUGGUUGCCAAGAGGCUCAAAGUCAGCAUGAAUAUAAUCAGGAGGCACUGAUGACUUUGUUACCCAGAGAUGGUUUGGGGAUCCGUCAGGAGUAUCAUGCACAUGGACAGGAAUGUGAGGCAGAGGAUUACUGGAGUUGAGCUGGCAGUCAAGGGACAAACAAGCCAAAAGUUAUAAAAAACAUAUUUUAAAAUUAUAUAUUUUUAAAUAAUCGUGAUGGACAGAAGAAAUUGUAAUCCUGAGGCAAUAACUGAGAAAGUAUUGAGUAGGUAAUAAAAGGCCUGAGUAGGCUGAAAUAAAUGUUUUAAAAUAGCAGUUUCCUGUAUCCAUGGCUUCUAAAGACCUCCGUUAGUGCGAAUAGUAACUCAAAUGAAAUUUAGAACCAAGAAUAAUUGAGAGGGGUAGCUCACAGGCAGGAGUGAAUUGUGUUUUGCAGGAUUUGAAGAUUAUACAAUUUGGAUGACUCUUCUUUAAAAAAUUACUAAUACCAAAUUAGAUCUAGGGCCUUGGGAAGGGCCUGGAAGCAUAAGCUACAUUACCUUUAUAGCAAACCCAGCUUGGAC
rnacentral:lncRNA from 1 species